rnacentral:rRNA from 1 species
AUUGAACGCUCGCGGGAUGCUUUACACAUGCAAGUCGAACGGCAGCGCGGACUUCGGUCUGGCGGCGAGUGGCGAACGGGUGAGUAAUGUAUCGGAACGUGCCCAGUAGCAGGGGAUAACUACGCGAAAGCGUAGCUAAUACCGCAUACGCCCUACGGGGGAAAGCAGGGGAUCGUAAGACCUUGCACUAUUGGAGCGGCCGAUAUCGGAUUAGCUAGUUGGUGAGGUAACGGCUCACCAAGGCGACGAUCCGUAGCUGGUUUGAGAGGACGACCAGCCACACUGGGACUGAGACACGGCCCAGACUCCUACGGGAGGCAGCAGUGGGGAAUUUUGGACAAUGGGGGCAACCCUGAUCCAGCCAUCCCGCGUGUGCGAUGAAGGCCUUCGGGUUGUAAAGCACUUUUGGCAGGAAAGAAACGUCGCGGGCUAAUACCCCGUGGAACUGACGGUACCUGCAGAAUAAGCACCGGCUAACUACGUG